AUGUUUGUGGUGAAUACACACUUGCACCAAAUCGCAAUACUGUCACUACCUUUAUCAAGCGCGUUUACUAUGCAUAUUUUGGCAUGAAGCUCGGCGAUCAAGACAAAAGUUGGGCACCUCACAUGGUUUGCAAAAGAUGGCACGCAAAAGUCCAUGAACUUUGGCAUCCCCAUGAUUUGGCGAGAGCCUUAAAUCAUGCAACCGAUUGCUACUUUUGUGCUAUCAAUGUCAUGGGAAUUAACAGAAAAAAUCGCACAACACUGGAGUAUCCCAAUCUACCGUCAGCUAUGCGCCCUACUCCUUAUAGUGAAGAAAUUCCCGUACUUGUAUUUGAAGAUACAAGUAUUGAAGAAAGCAGUAGUAGCCAGGAUGAAACUCAAAGCAUUGCCACUACCGUUGAUGCAUCCUUUCCACAUGACUAAAUUGUUUUCCCGAUGGCAAAAUUGUUUCCCAAAACGAACUAAACGAUCUUGUUCGCGAUUUAAAUUUGCCAAAAGACUCUGCCGAACUUCUUGCAUCUCGUUUAAAGGACAAGAACAUGCUAAAUGGUAAAGUUAAGGUUAAUCUACAGAAA